UAGGGAAUCUUCCGCAAUGGACGCAAGUCUGACGGAGCAACGCCGCGUGAGUGAAGGAGGAUUUCGGUUCGUAAAACUCUGUUAUUAGGGAAGAACAAAUGUGUAAGUAACUAUGCACAUCUUGACGGUACCUAAUCAGAAAGCCACGGCUAACUACGUGCCAGCAGCCGCGGUAAUACGUAGGUGGCAAGCGUUAUCCGGAAUUAUUGGGCGUAAAGCGCGCGUAGGCGGUUUUUUAAGUCUGAUGUGAAAGCCCACGGCUCAACCGUGGAGGGUCAUUGGAAACUGGAAAACUUGAGUGCAGAAGAGGAAAGUGGAAUUCCAUGUGUAGCGGUGAAAUGCGCAGAGAUAUGGAGGAACACCAGUGGCGAAGGCGACUUUCUGGUCUGUAACUGACGCUGAUGUGCGAAAGCGUGGGGAUCAAACAGG
rnacentral:rRNA from 1 species